UUCAGAUUCUACCUCACAUUCUCAAUUCACAUGUACAAAUUUGUUAGUGUCUCACAUUUGAGUGAUAUUUUUUAAUUCAUUGAGAUUACAGUGGGAAUGGGAAUAAACGUCAUGUCGUAAAGUACGCGUGCAUUGCAGGGGGGAUUUUUUCAACGACAUCAAAAUUGUGGAGUCGUCUGCAAAAUUUAGACCUAAAACGACACUUGAUGUAUUAUUUUUCCCUUUAAAUAUUUAAAACAAAAUCAUUAAUUCUAAAGAAAAACGAUGUUCCUAAGUUCUGUACCCCAUGCAGUUUAAAUAGGUGAAGUCAAUGGUCAAAGAUAUGUGAUUUUAGGAAGAAAAAAGAAAUGGUGUGUUAGGUUUAGGGAUCUUUGAAAUGCCAUUUAGAAAAUUAAAUAAAAACAUCUUUUUUUCUUUUUUUAUUAAAUAAUAUAGGGAGUCGUCUAUUCUCAA